rnacentral:rRNA from 1 species
AGAGUUUGAUCCUGGCUCAGGANNNNNNNUGGCGGCGUGCCUAACACAUGCAAGUCGAGCGAACCCCUUCGGGGGAGAGCGGCGGACGGGUGAGUAACGCGUGGGUAACCUACCCUGUACACACGGAUAACAUACCGAAAGGUUUACUAAUACGUGAUGACAUAUCAGACAGGCAUCUGUUUGAUAUCAAAGGUCAGCUGGUACAGGAUGGACCCGCGUCUGAUUAGCUAGUUGGUGAGAUAAAAGCUCACCAAGGCGACGAUCAGUAGCCGACCUGAGAGGGUGAUCGGCCACNUUGGAACUGAGACACGGUCCAAACUCCUACGGGAGGCAGCAGUGGGGAAUAUUGCACAAUGGGCGAAAGCCUGAUGCAGCAACGCCGCGUGAGUGAUGAAGGUUUUCGGAUCGUAAGACUCUGUCCUCAAGGAAGAUAAUGACGGUACUUGAGGAGGAAGCCCCGGCUAACUACGUGCCAGCAGCCGCGGUAAUACGUAGGGGGCUAGCGUUAUCCGGAUUUACUGGGCGUAAAGGGUGCGUAGGCGGNCUUUCAAGUCAGAAGUUAAAUUCUACGGNUCAACCGUAGCCAGCUUUUGAAACUGGAAGACUUGAGUGCAGGAGAGGAGAGUAGAAUUCCUAGUGUAGCGGUGAAAUGCGUANAUAUUAGGAGGAAUACCAGUAGCGAAGGCGGCUCUCUGGACUGUAACUGACGCUGAGGCACGAAAGCGUGGGGAGCGAACAGGAUUANAUACCCUGGUAGNCCACGCCGUAAACGAUGAGUACUANGUG